rnacentral:rRNA from 1 species
AUUGAACGCUGGCGGCAUGCUUUACACAUGCAAGUCGAGCGGUAACAGGCCUUCGGGUGCUGACGAGUGGCGAACGGGUGAGUAAUGCAUCGGAACGUACCCAGAGGUGGGGGAUAACGCAGCGAAAGCUGUGCUAAUACCGCAUGUGAUCUGAGGAUGAAAGCGGGGGACCGAGCAGCAAUGUUUGGCCUCGCGCCUUUGGAGCGGCCGAUGUCGGAUUAGCUAGUUGGUGGGGUAAAGGCCUACCAAGGCGACGAUCCGUAGCUGGUCUGAGAGGACGACCAGCCACACCGGGACUGAGACACGGCCCAGACUCCUACGGGAGGCAGCAGUGGGGAAUGUUGGACAAUGGGCGCAAGCCUGAUCCAGCAAUGCCGCGUGCGGGAAGAAGGCCUUCGGGUUGUAAACCGCUUUUGGCAGGAACGAAACGGUGUCCGCUAAUACCGGGCGCUAAUGACGGUACCUGCAGAAUAAGCACCGGCUAACUACGUG